UGUGUAGGCGGUUGCUUAAGUUUGGUGUGAAAUCUCCCGGCUCAACUGGGAGGGUGCGCCGAAUACUGAGUGACUAGAGUGCGGGAGAGGAAAGUGGAAUUCCUGGUGUAGCGGUGAAAUGCGUAGAUAUCAGGAGGAACACCGGUGGUGUAAACGGCUUUCUGGACCGUAACUGACGCUGAAACACGAAAGCGUGGGGAGCAAACAGGAUUAGAUACCCUGGUAGUCCACGCCCUAAACGAUGCAUAUUUGGUGUGGGUCAUUCAGUUGAUCCGUGCCGGAGCUAACGCGUUAAAUAUGCCGCCUGGGGAGUACAGUCGCAAGGCUGAA
rnacentral:rRNA from 1 species